AUGCAGAAAACAGGGAAGAAAUGUAAGCAGAGGCUAGCCUGCCCACAGCUGGUACCCGGUGACUGUUGUUCAAUAAAUAAAAGAGAAAUCAAUCAUUUCCAUCUAGUUAUUAAGGCCAUGGCAGCCUUCCCCAAGAAUCUGGGGGGUCUGCAGUCUUCCCCAAGAAUUUGGUCAGUCAAAGAGGGGGCUCUCAUUGAUCUCUUUCUCCAGGACAGGAAGCUCUGGAUCUUGGUGAAGACCUGGAAGGGUUCCAUUUUUCAUCCAAAGGAGACAAUGUGCUGCGUGGCAUUGUUACACAGGAGGGGUCCCCAGAGCCUCCUGUAUGCAGAGGAAAGGAGGACUGAGCUGGUCUCCAUGUGGUCCUGCUCUCCCUAUCUCCCUGGGACUUUUCCUUCCCAUUGGAGGCUGAGCCAAUCUUCAAAUUUCUUAGCGAAGCCCACGGAGAAGAAAAUAUUCCUUUUCUGAACCCAUUGAAUGUCUAUUGGAUGUCCUGAUCUUCUGCUGAUAUCUCAUGAUCUCUAAGGCCUGGGGCUUCUGUGUCAUGACCUCCCAGGUCAGAACCAGGUGAGUGUUGGCUUAUGUCCCCCUGGGCCUGCUCACAGUUCUGCCUGCUCGGGAACCUGCUCUUGCUUCUAUCAAGGCCCAUGUGCCUUCUAUUGGGUUAGUGUUCACGUUUCUUGAGUGUCUGAGCCCUUGAGGUGAAUUUGAACUUGAUAUAGAAAAGGUUUAAUGUCCCAGGAGGGAGAUUUCCCUAAUGUAUACUCUUCAGGUGACCCUGAACUAUCCCUGCCCCAUUUUUCUCCCUCACUUCAUUUAAAAGCUGUCACUGUUACUCUUGAAAUUCAUAGCACUUGUGGUAGGCAGAAUCCUAAAAUUAAUGCUAGUGACUCUCACCCUUGUGUCGUCUCCUCCCCUUUGAACGUGUUUCGAAUUGGUGAAUAUAAUGAGAUAUCACUUCCAUGACUAUGUGUGGUAAAAGAGAUCAUCUUGGUGUGCCUAACCUAAUCACAUGAGACCUUCAACAACAUAGCGUUGUCUCUAGCUGGUUAAAGAGGAUGAAGUAUUGGAAACUCCAAGUCUGAGGAGGAUUUGAUCCUGGCUUGAAGAUUGAGGGGCCCAUGUGGCAAGGACUGAGGGUAGCCUUUGGAAGCUGAGAGCUGUUCCCUGAUAAGAUCCAGCAAGAAGAUGGGACCCUCAGUGCUACAACUGCCAGGAACUGAGUCUUGUCAACAUCCUGCAUAAGCCUGGUGGCUGAUUCUCCUCCAGAUCCUCCAGAUGAGAGCCCAGCCUGGCUGACAUCUUGACUUUGGCCUCCAGAGACCUUGAGCAGGAACCCAGCUAAGCCUGCCCAGACUUCUGAUCUACAGAACUAUGAGAUAACAAAUGGAUGUUAUUUUAAGUUGCUAAAUAUGUAGUAAUUUGUUACACAGCAAUAGAAAAUAAAUAGAGCAUUAAUCAGAGAUAAUCCA
rnacentral:lncRNA from 1 species